rnacentral:rRNA from 1 species
AUUGAACGCUGGCGGCAGGCCUAACACAUGCAAGUCGAGCGGAGCGGCGGACGGGUGAGUAAUGCCUAGGAAUCUGCCUGGUAGUGGGGGAUAACGUCCGGAAACGGGCGCUAAUACCGCAUACUAUCAGAUGAGCCUAGGUCGGAUUAGCUAGUUGGUGGGGUAAAGGCCUACCAGGGCGACGAUCCGUAACUGGUUUGAGAGGAUGAUCAGUCACGUUGGAACUGAGACACGGUCCAGACUCCUACUGUAGGCAGCAGUGGGGAAUAGUGGACAAUGGGCGAAAGCCUGAGCCAGCCAUGCCGCUUAUGUGAAGAAGGUCUUCGGAUUGUAAAGCACUUUAAGUUGUGAGGCGUUGCCAACAGGAUAAGCACCGGAUAACUUCGUGCCAGCAGCCGCAGUAAUAC